UACGUAGGGUGCAAGCGUUAUCCGGAAUUAUUGGGCGUAAAGAGCUCGUAGGCGGUUUGUCGCGUCUGCUGUGAAAACUGGAGGCUCAACCUCCAGCCUGCAGUGGGUACGGGCAGACUAGAGUGCGGUAGGGGAGAUUGGAAUUCCUGGUGUAGCGGUGGAAUGCGCAGAUAUCAGGAGGAACACCGAUGGCGAAGGCAGAUCUCUGGGCCGUGACUGACGCUGAGGAGCGAAAGCGUGGGGAGCGAUCCGG
rnacentral:rRNA from 1 species